AUGGCCACGUCGUCGACGCUGAGCCAGACGCAGCGGUACGCUGCGGGUGCGCUCCUCGCGCUCGCGCUCCGCCAGGCGCAGAUCCACCAGCGCGUCCUUCUCGGCUCCCACGGCCUCGACGAGGGCCCGGACCCUGAGACCGCCGUCCUCUCCAGCGACGACCCCGACGGCCGCGACCUCUGGACCCACGACUCCCGCGGCCUCCUCCGCCCCGUCCUCCGGUUUCUCGAGAUCGACCCCAAGGCCUGGCCGGGCGUGGAGAAGACGGCGGCGACCUCCGAGCCCAAGCACCACAUUGGAGCCUUCCUCCGGAAAGUGUUCGAGGACGAAGAUGACGGCGAGAAGGCCGCCGCCGAUAGGUCCGACCUCGAGCUCGCGCUCGCCAAAGCCGUCGACGCGAUGGCGAUGGGCCUGGAGAACGACGUUGCACCGGGCGACCUGUUCAAACAACACGUGUUCGGCGGCGACAAUGAGGAACAGGAACCGUCUGACGACGGGUCGCCGUCGUCGCCUGGCGGCGGAGGGCGCUCCAAGGACUACCGGAAGAUGGCGGUGCUGUACAUGCUCCUCUCAGCUUGCGUGGCGGACGUGAACAUGGGCGAGGACGGCAUGGGGUCCCCCCGCAUAAGGAAGGGCUACGACGCCCGCCACCGCGUGGCGCUCCGACUGAUCGCGACUUGGCUUGACGUCAAGUGGAUCAAGAUGGAAGCUAUCGAGAUAAUGGUUGCUUGCUCUGCUAUGGCUGCAGCGAAAGAGGACGAGAAAUCGCGUGAAAGUACGUCGCCGAGAAGCAGGUGGCAGAAAUGGAGGCGUGGGGGAAUCAUCGGCGCCGCCGCCUUGACCGGAGGGACGCUCAUGGCCAUCUCCGGGGGUCUAGCUGCUCCAGCGAUUGCUGCAGGGUUCACUGCUCUUGCUCCGACGUUGCACGCACUUGUCCCUGUUAUAGGGGCUAGCGGAUUUGCUGCUAUAGCUACUGCUGCUGGACACACCGCUGGCUCAGUAGCAGUUGCUGCAUCAUUUGGAGCUGCUGGAGCUGGGUUAACUGGCUCCAAAAUGGCCAAAAGAAUUGGAAAUGUGAAAGAAUUCGAGUUCAAAGCCCUCGGCCAGAACCAUAACCAGGGUCGCCUAGCAGUUUGCAUCAUGGUUUCUGGAUUCGCUUUUAAUGAAGACGAUUUUUUAAAGCCGUGGGAAGGAUGGAAAACUAACUUAGAGAGGUACAUUCUUCAGUGGGAGACUAAGCAUAUAAUUGCCUUGAGUACAGCAAUACAGGAUUUUCUGGCAUCAAGAUUUGCAAUGGAGCUGAUGAGGGAAGGUGCAAUGCAGACUGUGUUAAGCGGUAUAAUUUCAGCAUUUGCAUGGCCUGCUACCUUGGUAGCUGCUGCAGAUUUUAUUGACAGUACAUGGUCCGUUGCUAUUGACAGAUCAGAUAAGGUUGGGAUAAUGCUUGCUGAAGUGUUGCUCAAUGGACUGCAAGGAAGCAGGCCUGUCACUCUAAUAGGUUUUUCACUCGGUGCGCGUGUCGUGUUCAAAUGUUUGCAGGAAUUAGCUCUUUCAGGCAAUAACGAGGGAAUCGUCGAGAGGGCUGUGCUGAUAGGUGCACCGAUUUCAGUUAAUGACGAGUUGUGGGGGCCUGCCAGGAAGAUGGUUGCUGGAAGGCUUGUGAACGUGUACUCCACCAAGGACUGGAUCCUCGGCGUCACUUUCCGGGCAAGUCUGCUCACGCAAGGCUUGGCUGGCAUCCAGGCAGUCCAAGUCCCCGGAGUUGAAAAUGUUGACGUUAGCGAGCUCGUCGUCGGGCACUCCUACCUGGGACUCAUGCAGCAGAUCCUGGAGCAGCUAGAGCUCAAUACUUACUACCCGGUGUUCUCCCCCUCCACGCCCAGGUCCAGCACGCCCAGAUCGAAAUAA
rnacentral:rRNA from 1 species